rnacentral:rRNA from 1 species
AUUGAACGCUGGCGGCAUGCCUUACACAUGCAAGUCGAACGGUAGCAGGUCUUCGGAUGCUGACGAGUGGCGAACGGGUGAGUAAUACAUCGGAACGUGCCUAGUAGUGGGGGAUAACUACUCGAAAGAGUGGCUAAUACCGCAUGAGAUCUACGGAUGAAAGCAGGGGAUCGAAAGACCUUGUGCUACUAGAGCGGCCGAUGGCAGAUUAGGUAGUUGGUGGGAUAAAAGCUUACCAAGCCGACGAUCUGUAGCUGGUCUGAGAGGACGAUCAGCCACACUGGGACUGAGACGCGGCCCAGACUCCUACGGGAGGAAGCAGUGGGGAAGUUUGGACAAUGGGCGAAAGCCUGAUCCAGCAAUGCCGCGUGCAGGAUGAAGGCCUUCGGGUUGUAAACUGCUUUUGUACGGAACGAAAAGCCCUGGGUUAAUACCCUGGGGUCAUGACGGUACCGUAAGAAUAAGCACCGGCUAACUACGUGCCAGCAGCCGCCGCCGUAA